GGUGGGAUAGCUGGGUCAAAUGGUGGUUCCAUUCCCAGUUUUCUGAGGAAUCUCCAUACUGCUAUCCAGAGUGGUCACACCAAUUUGCAGUCCCACCAGCCAU
rnacentral:pre_miRNA from 1 species